UACGGAGGGUGCAAGCGUUAUCCGGAUUCACUGGGUUUAAAGGGUGUGUAGGCGGAUUUUUAAGUCAGUGGUGAAAUCUCCGGGCUCAACCCGGAAACUGCCAUUGAUACUAUUAGUCUUGAAUUCUGUUGAGGUGGGCGGAAUACAUCAUGUAGCGGUGAAAUGCUUAGAUAUGAUGGUAGAACACCGAUUGCGAAGGCAGCUCACUAAGCAGACAUUGACGCUGAGGCACGAAAGCGUGGGGAUCAAACAGG
rnacentral:rRNA from 1 species